ACCAGAAUUUCUCUCCACCGUCCU
rnacentral:siRNA from 1 species